ACCCAUUCCAUCUCCUUUUUUCCUAUUUCUUUAAUAAAAUCACCACCUCUCCAAUGGUUUUUAACUAUCAUGAUCCCUAUAAAUGUAAGAAAUUUGGGAUCAUUAUUAUGUUUGCAAAAAUGUGCAGACACUGAGUGUUUUUCAUAAUUUUUUUCGAUAUUUCUGCAGUGCUCAGCUAUCGGCAUUUUUAAAGGUCUAAUCGUACGACCAAUAUAUUGGAGGCCACAAGGGCAUUCCAAUAGGUAAAUAACAUUCUUGCUUUCGCAAGUAAUAAUUUCUUUGAUGUUAUAGAUCUUAUUAUUAAU